GUUGGUGGUUAUAGCGAGCGGGUUCCACCUCUUCCCAUUCCGAACAGAGAAGUUAAGCCGCUCAGCGCUGAUGGUACUGCCCUUGGGUGGGAGAGUAGGUCGCUGCCAACU
rfam:Haliscomenobacter hydrossis DSM 1100, complete genome.